rnacentral:lncRNA from 1 species
UAAAUGUUUGAGGUGUUGGAUACCCCAUUUACCCUCAUGUACUAUUACACGUUGUAUGCCUGUAUCAAUGUAUCUCAUGUGCUUUCUAAAUAAAUAUACCUACUAUGUACCCACAAAUAUUAAAAAUUAAAAAAAUAUAUUAUUUUAUGACUUAAUAUUAAGAGACAAAUUCUUACUUUUAAGAGGACUAAAAAUCAGAAGGUUUUCAAUCACCAAGUACAAACCAAAUAAAAAAUAUAGUUACAAGCACUGGGGCAGUACUCAGGAGGCUGAGGCACGAGAAUUACUUGAACCCAGGAAGCCGAGGUUUCAGUGAGCCAAGAGCAUGCCACUGCACUCCAGCCUAUAUGACAGAAAGGGACUUUGUCUUAAAAAAAAAGUAAUAACACAGUUUAAAACUGUUAACAUUUACCCAAUUAUAGUAAAAAUGUCAAGUUUGAUAGAAGUAUAAAAUGAUAAGAAGUAAAAAUUUAAAAAUCCUCUCUAACUCCUUUUCCUCUCCCAGAAAAAAUUCUAUAAUUAUUCAUGUUGUAUUCAAAGUGUAUUCUACAAAUUUUAAAAGUUAAACAAUAUAAAUUUGAGAACACAAUAGAAUAACCUACACAUAUAGUCUGCCAAGUUGACUAUAGGAUAAGUACCUUGAAAUGAAACACUGGAUCUAAAGAUAUUUAUUAUUUCAGAUUUUGAGAGCUAUGCUAAAUUGCCCUUCAAAACAAAACAAAACAAAAAAGGCUACUGUUAACAGUGUAUAAACAUACUUUUAUCCUCUGGGUUCUAUUAAACAUUUCAUUUUUUUUCAAUCAUAUAUGGAAAGUGAUAUCUUGGUGUUAUGUGAGUGAGGCUGAGCAAUUUGUCAAAUGUGCAUUUCUAUUUUGCUCUUUCUGUGAACUGUCUGUUCAUAUUCUUUGACCAUUUUUCUCUUGGGUUGUUCAACUUUUUCUAUUAACUUGUAAGAAUUCUCUGUAUAAAAUAAAUUAAUUCUCCAUCACACGCUUUGCAAGUAUCUUCCCCAUUUUGUUGUUUGUCUUUUGACUUGUUUAUGGCAUUUUCAAC